AAAGCACCACAUGAGGAAUUAGUCGAAGUAAUAUUUGUUAAAAACAAAGGCAAAAAAUAUCUCAAAGGUAGUCGAACGCUUUAGGGUAAACAAAUCCUAAAGCAAGAUGCUAAGUUAUUAAUAUUUGGCAAUCAUUACAUUUUCUUCUUUGCUGUGUUGAAUUCUCUAGGUGUCGCAAUGAGUGUUUUUCUCCUUCGAGGGUCUGAAUGGAAAUUUUGCUUGCAGAUCUUUUGCACAUCGUAGUUGUCAUGACAAUUUCAGGGCAGCAAAGCAACUUCUGAAGCAACCCAAGUGAAGGGAGACGAAUAUUCAACAAUUCAACUUUGGGGUUUGUCAUUUAGGCAAUGACAGAUCCUUAUUCUUUUCUUAUGUUCUUCAUUUCCAAAUGUAUAGUUUUCUUUUAUGAUGCAGUAAAUCAGCUAUUCCCAUGGCUUGUGUGGGACACUACUUUUUGAAUUCAUGAAUAAAGAAUGCAAUUUUUGUA